rnacentral:RNase_P_RNA from 1 species
GAUGCUUUGUAAACCCCACCUGGUGCAAGACCAAAUAGGGGGACGUUUGAGAACGGCCCGUUCAAGUUCCCGGGUAGGUCGCAAGAGGUGCCGGGCAACCGGCAUUCAUAGAUGAAUGAUCGUCAACCGGUCAAGGGGUAACUCUAACCGGAUACAGAAUUCGGCUUAUGGGUUGCUCGGACCG